UAUAUUAAGUUGUUGCAGUUAAAAGCUCGUAGUUGAAUUUCGAGACCGGUUUAUUGGUCGUGCUUUUGUACGUACUGGUAUUAUUGGUUUCUCCCUUCUGACGAAUCUUAAUGCCAUUAAUUUGGUGUUUUGGGGAAUCAGGACUGUUACUUUGAAAAAAUUAAA
rnacentral:rRNA from 1 species